AUUGAACGCUGGCGGCAUGCCUUACACAUGCAAGUCGAACGGCAGCAUGGAGAGCUUGCUCUCUGAUGGCGAGUGGCGAACGGGUGAGUAAAGCAUCGGAACGUACCGUGUAAUGGGGGAUAACGUAGCGAAAGUUACGCUAAUACCGCAUACGACCUGAGGGUGAAAGCAGGGGAUCGCAAGACCUUGCGUUAUACGAGCGGCCGAUGUCAGAUUAGCUAGUUGGUAGGGUAAAGGCCUACCAAGGCGACGAUCUGUAGCGGGUCUGAGAGGAUGAUCCGCCACACUGGGACUGAGACACGGCCCAGACUCCGACGGGAGGCAGCAGUGGGGAAUUUUGGACAAUGGGGGCAACCCUGAUUCAGCCAUGCCGCGUGAGUGAAGAAGGCCUUCGGGUUGUAAAGCUCUUUCGGCCGGGAAGAAAUCGCACAGGCUAAUACUCUGUGUGGAUGACGGUACCGGCAUAAGAAGCACCGGCUAACUACGUGCCAGCCGCCGCGGUAA
rnacentral:rRNA from 1 species